rnacentral:rRNA from 1 species
GUGAACCAGUACCGUGAGGGAAAGGUGAAAAGCACCCCGGAAGGGGAGUGAAAUAGAACCUGAAACCGUGUGCUUACAAGUAGUCAGAGCCCGUUAAUGGGUGAUGGCGUGCCUUUUGUAGAAUGAACCGGCGAGUUACGAUUUGAUGCAAGGUUAAGCAGUAAAUGUGGAGCCGUAGCGAAAGCGAGUCUGAAUAGGGCGUUUAGUAUUUGGUCGUAGACCCGAAACCAGGUGAUCUACCCUUGGUCAGGUUGAAGUUCAGGUAACACUGAAUGGAGGACCGAACCGACUUACGUUGAAAAGUGAGCGGAUGAACUGAGGGUAGCGGAGAAAUUCCAAUCGAACCUGGAGAUAGCUGGUUCUCUCCGAAAUAGCUUUAGGGCUAGCCUCAAGUGAUGAUUAUUGGAGGUAGAGCACUGUUUGGACGAGGGGCCCCUCUCGGGUUACCGAAUUCAGACAAACUCCGAAUGCCAAUUAAUUUAACUUGGGAGUCAGAACAUGGGUGAUAAGGUCCGUGUUCGAAAGGGAAACAGCCCAGACCACCAGCUAAGGUCCCAAAAUAUAUGUUAAGUGGAAAAGGAUGUGGCGUUGCCCAGACAACUAGGAUGUUGGCUUAGAAGCAGCCAUCAUUUAAAGAGUGCGUAAUAGCUCACUAGUCGAGUGACACUGCGCCGAAAAUGUACCGGGGCUAAACAUAUUACCGAAGCUGUGGAUUGUCCUUUGGACAAUGGUAGGAGAGCGUUCUAAGGGCGUUGAAGCAUGAUCGUAAGGACAUGUGGAGCGCUUAGAAGUGAGAAUGCCGGUGUGAGUAGCGAAAGACGGGUGAGAAUCCCGUCCACCGAUUGACUAAGGUUUCCAGAGGAAGGCUCGUCCGCUCUGGGUUAGUCGGGUCCUAAGCUGAGGCCGACAGGCGUAGGCGAUGGAUAACAGGUUGAUAUUCCUGUACCACCUAUAAUCGUUUU